UGGCCGUUCUGUGUCGCCUCGUCCUCCGGUUGUAACGCCGUUACCACCGCCUUCUUUGCCAUCUCCGCCUCCACCUGCGCCAAUUUUCUCAACACCUCCUACGCUUACUUCCCCACCACCUCCGUCACCGCCUCCGCCUGUUUAUUCUCCCCCUCCUCCACCGCCACCACCUCCUCCGGUAUAUUCUCCUCCACCACCACCGCCCCCACCGCCUCCUCCGCCAGUAUAUUCUCCUCCACCACCACCACCGCCCCCACCGCCUCCUCCGCCAGUAUAUUCUCCGCCACCACCAUCGCCGCCUCCACCGCCUCCGCCAGUCUACUCUCCCCCACCACCACCACCGCCUCCACCUCCUCCGCCGGUAUACUCUCCUCCGCCUCCGCCAGUAUACUCUUCUCCACCUCCUCCGCCUUCUCCAGCACCAACUCCAGUUUAUUGCACCCGUCCACCACCCCCACCACCUCACUCGCCGCCACCACCACAAUUUUCUCCUCCACCACCUGAACCUUACUACUACAGCU
rnacentral:lncRNA from 1 species